rnacentral:rRNA from 1 species
GUGCCAGCCGCCGCGGUAAUCCCAGCACUCCAAGUCGCAGCCACAAUUAUUGGGUCUAAAACAUUCGUAGCUUGCUUUGUAAGUCUUUUGUGAAAUCGGGCAUCUUAAGUGUCCGGCGAGCAAAAGAUACUGCUUGGCUAGGGACCGGUAGAUGUAAAGAGUACGAGUAGAGUAGCGGUAAAAUGCGUUGAUCCUAUUUGGACUAACAACAGCGAAGGCACUUUACAAGAACGGAUCCGACAGUGAGGAAUGAAGGCUAGGGGCGCAAAUUGGAUUAGAUACCCAAGUAGUCCUAGCAGUAAACCCUGCACACUGAACAUCGGGGCCUCUUAGAGAGGUUUCGGUGCUGUAGAGAAGUCGGAGAGUGUGCUACCUGGGAAGUAUAGUCGCAAGGCCGAAACUUAAAGGAAUAGGCGGGGGAGUACUACAACGGGUGACGCGUGCGGUUCAAUUAGAUUCUACACCGUGAACCUCACCAGGACCGACAGCAGGAUGAAGGUCAGUCUAAAGGGCUUACCUGACACGCUGAGAGGAGAUGCAUGGCCGACGUCAGCCUGUGUCGUGAGAUGACUUGUUAAAUCAAGUAACAGGCGAGACCCGUGUGUAUAUUUGCAUCUGU